rnacentral:rRNA from 1 species
UUCACAUCGCAAGUCGAGCGGACAGAUGGGAGCUUGCUCCCUGAUGUUAGCGGCGGACGGGUGAGUAACACGUGGGUAACCUGCCUGUAAGACUGGGAUAACUCCGGGAAACCGGGGCUAAUACCGGAUGCUUGUUUGAACCGCAUGGUUCAAACAUAAAAGGUGGCUUCGGCUACCACUUACAGAUGGACCCGCGGCGCAUUAGCUAGUUGGUGAGGUAAUGGCUCACCAAGGCGACGAUGCGUAGCCGACCUGAGAGGGUGAUCGGCCACACUGGGACUGAGACACGGCCCAGACUCCUACGGGAGGCAGCAGUAGGGAAUCUUCCGCAAUGGACGAAAGUCUGACGGAGCAACGCCGCGUGAGUGAUGAAGGUUUUCGGAUCGUAAAGCUCUGUUGUUAGGGAAGAACAAGUACCGUUCGAAUAGGGCGGUACCUUGACGGUACCUAACCAGAAAGCCACGGCUAACUACGUGCCAGCAGCCGCGGUAAUACGUAGGUGGCAAGCGUUGUCCGGAAUUAUUGGGCGUAAAGGGCUCGCAGGCGGUUUCUUAAGUCUGAUGUGAAAGCCCCCGGCUCAACCGGGGAGGGUCAUUGGAAACUGGGGAACUUGAGUGCAGAAGAGGAGAGUGGAAUUCCACGUGUAGCGGUGAAAUGCGUAUAGAUGUGGAGGAACACCAGUGGCGAAGGCGACUCUCUG